rnacentral:rRNA from 1 species
UACGUAGGGGGCGAGCGUUGUCCGGAAUCAUUGGGCGUAAAGAGCGUGUAGGCGGCCAGGUAGGUCUGCUGUGAAAACUCGAGGCUCAACCUCGAGAUGUCGGCGGAAACCAUCUGGCUAGAGUCCGGAAGAGGAAAGUGGAAUUCCUGGUGUAGCGGUGAAAUGCGCAGAUAUCAGGAAGAACACCCGUGGCGAAGGCGGCUUUCUGGGACGGUACUGACGCUGAGACGCGAAAGCGUGGGGAGCGAACAGG